rnacentral:rRNA from 1 species
AUUGAACGCUGGCGGCAGGCCUAACACAUGCAAGUCGAGCGGAUGAAGGGAGCUUGCUCCUGGAUUCAGCGGCGGACGGGUGAGUAAUGCCUAGGAAUCUGCCUGGUAGUGGGGGAUAACGUCCGGAAACGGGCGCUAAUACCGCAUACGUCCUGAGGGAGAAAGUGGGGGAUCUUCGGACCUCACGCUAUCAGAUGAGCCUAGGUCGGAUUAGCUAGUUGGUGGGGUAAAGGCCUACCAAGGCGACGAUCCGUAACUGGUCUGAGAGGAUGAUCAGUCACACUGGAACUGAGACACGGUCCAGACUCCUACGGGAGGCAGCAGUGGGGAAUAUUGGACAAUGGGCGAAAGCCUGAUCCAGCCAUGCCGCGUGUGUGAAGAAGGUCUUCGGAUUGUAAAGCACUUUAAGUUGGGAGGAAGGGCAGUAAGUUAAUACCUUGCUGUUUUGACGUUACCUACAGAGUAAGCACCGGCUAACUUCGUG